GAUGAACGCUGGCGGCGUGCCUAAUACAUGCAAGUCGAGCGAACGGACGAGAAGCUUGCUUCUCUGAUGUUAGCGGCGGACGGGUGAGUAACACGUGGAUAACCUACCUAUAAGACUUGGAUAACUUCGGGAAACCGGAGCUAAUACCGGAUGAUAUUUUGAACCGCAUUGUUCAAAAGUUCAAGACGGUCUUGCUGUCACUUAUAGAUGGAUCCGGGCUGCAUUAGAUAGUGGGUAAGGUAACGGCUUACCAAGGCAACGAUGCAUAGCCGACCUGAGAGGGUGAUCGGCCACACUGGAACUGAGACACGGUCCAGACUCCUACGGGAGGCAGCAGUAGGGAAUCUUCCGCAAUGGGCGAAAGCCUGACGGAGCAACGCCGCGUGAGUGAUGAAGGUCUUCGGAUCGUAAAACUCUGUUAUUAGGGAAGAACAUAUGUGUAAGUAACUGUGCACAUCUUGACGGUACCUAAUCAGAAAGCCACGGCUAACUACGUG
rnacentral:rRNA from 1 species